rnacentral:rRNA from 1 species
UAGAGUUUGAUCAUGGCUCAGAUUGAACGCUGGCGGCAGGCCUAACACAUGCAAGUCGAACGGUAACAGGAAGCAGCUUGCUGCUUUGCUGACGAGUGGCGGACGGGUGAGUAAUGUCUGGGAAACUGCCCGGUGGAGGGGGAUAACUACUGGAAACGGUAGCUAAUACCGCAUAACGUCGCAAGACCAAAGAGGGGGACCUUCGGGCCUCUUGCCACCGGAUGUGCCCAGAUGGGAUUAGCUUGUUGGUGAGGUAACGGCUCACCAAGGCGACGAUCCCUAGCUGGUCUGAGAGGAUGACCAGCCACACUGGAACUGAGACACGGUCCAGACUCCUACGGGAGGCAGCAGUGGGGAAUAUUGCACAAUGGGCGCAAGCCUGAUGCAGCCAUGCCGCGUGUAUGAAGAAGGCCUUCGGGUUGUAAAGUACUUUUCAGCGGGGAGGAAGGGAUUGUGGUUAAUAACCGCAGUCAUUGACGUUACCCGCAGAAGAAGCACCGGCUAACUCCGUGCCAGCAGCCGCGGUAAUACGGAGGGUGCAAGCGUUAAUCGGAAUUACUGGGCGUAAAGCGCACGCAGGCGGUCUGUCAAGUCGGAUGUGAAAUCCCCGGGCUCAACCUGGGAACUGCAUUCGAAACUGGCAGGCUUGAGUCUCGUAGAGGGGGGUGGAAUUCCAGGUGUAGCGGUGAAAUGCGUAGAGAUCUGGAGGAAUACCGGUGGCGAAGGCGGCCCCCUGGACGAAGACUGACGCUCAGGUGCGAAAGCGUGGGGAGCAAACAGGAUUAGAUACCCUGGUAGUCCACGCCGUAAACGAUGUCUACUUGGAGGUUGUGCCCCUGAGGCGUGGCUUCCGGAGCUAACGCGUUAAGUAGACCGCCUGGGGAGUACGGCCGCAAGGUUAAAACUCAAAUGAAUUGACGGGGGCCCGCACAAGCGGUGGAGCAUGUGGUUUAAUUCGAUGCAACGCGAAGAACCUUACCUGGUCUUGACAUCCACGGAAGACUGCAGAGAUGCGGUUGUGCCUUCGGGAACCGUGAGACAGGUGCUGCAUGGCUGUCGUCAGCUCGUGUUGUGAAAUGUUGGGUUAAGUCCCGCAACGAGCGCAACCCUUAUCCUUUGUUGCCAGCGGUCCGGCCGGGAACUCAAAGGAGACUGCCAGUGAUAAACUGGAGGAAGGUGGGGAUGACGUCAAGUCAUCAUGGCCCUUACGACCAGGGCUACACACGUGCUACAAUGGCAUAUACAAAGAGAAGCGACCUCGCGAGAGCAAGCGGACCUCAUAAAGUAUGUCGUAGUCCGGAUUGGAGUCUGCAACUCGACUCCAUGAAGUCGGAAUCGCUAGUAAUCGUGGAUCAGAAUGCCACGGUGAAUACGUUCCCGGGCCUUGUACACACCGCCCGUCACACCAUGGGAGUGGGUUGCAAAAGAAGUAGGUAGCUUAACCUCCGGGAGGGCGCUUACCACUUUGUGAUUCAUGACUGGGGUGAAGUCGUAACAAGGUAACCGUAA